rnacentral:rRNA from 1 species
AAACCAACAGGGAUUGCUCUAGUAACGGCGAGUGAAGCAGCAAUAGCUCAAAUUUGAAAUCUGGCGUCUUCGGCGUCCGAGUUGUAAUUUGUAGAGGAUGCUUCUGGGCAGCCACCGACCUAAGUUCCUUGGAACAGGACGUCAUAGAGGGUGAGAAUCCCGUAUGCGGUCGGAAAGGCACCCUACACGUAGCUCCUUCGACGAGUCGAGUUGUUUGGGAAUGCAGCUCUAAAUGGGAGGUAAAUUUCUUCUAAAGCUAAAUAUUGGCCAGAGACCGAUAGCGCACAAGUAGAGUGAUCGAAAGAUGAAAAGCACUUUGGAAAGAGAGUUAAAAAGCACGUGAAAUUGUUGAAAGGAAAGGGAUUGCAACCAGACUUGCUCGCGGUGUUCCGCCGGUCUUCUGACCGGUCUACUCGCCGCGUUGCAGGCCAGCAUCGUCUGGUGCCGCUGGAUAAGACUUGAGGAAUGUAGCUCCCUCGGGAGUGUUAUAGCCUCUUGUGAUGCAGCGAGCGCCGGGCGAGGUCCGCGCUUCGGCUAGGAUGCUGGCGUAAUGGUCGUAAUCCGC